GUCUCGUUGUCCUCAACCGUGGCGCCGAG
rnacentral:sRNA from 1 species